rnacentral:rRNA from 1 species
UACGAAGGGGGCUGGCGUUGCUCGGAAUCACUGGGCGUAAAGCGCACGUAGGCGGAUCUUUAAGUCAGGGGUGAAAUCCCGGGGCUCAACCCCGGAACUGCCUUUGAUACUGGUAGUCUUGAGUUCGAGAGAGGUGAGUGGAAUUCCGAGUGUAGAGGUGAAAUUCGUAGAUAUUCGGAGGAACACCAGUGGCGAAGGCGGCUCACUGGCUCGAUACUGACGCUGAGGUGCGAAAGCAUGGGGAGCGAACAGG